rnacentral:rRNA from 1 species
UAGGGAAUCUUCGGCAAUGGACGAAAGUCUGACCGAGCAACGCCGCGUGAGUGAAGAAGGUUUUCGGAUCGUAAAACUCUGUUGUUAGAGAAGAACAAGGACGUUAGUAACUGAACGUCCCCUGACGGUAUCUAACCAGAAAGCCACGGCUAACUACGUGCCAGCAGCCGCGGUAAUACGUAGGUGGCAAGCGUUGUUCGGAUUUAUUGGGCGUAAAGCGAGCGCAGGCGGUUUCUUAAGUCUGAUGUGAAAGCCCCCGGCUCAACCGGGGAGGGUCAUUGGACACUGGGAGACUUGAGUGCAGAAGAGGAGAGUGGAAUUCCAUGUGUAGCGGUGAAAUGCGUAGAUAUAUGGAGGAACACCAGUGGCGAAGGCGGCUCUCUGGUCUGUAACUGACGCUGAGGCUCGAAAGCGUGGGGAGCAAACAGG